rnacentral:lncRNA from 1 species
GCUGCUGCUCCCCGGCGGGCCCGCAGCGACACGCACCCUGGAGCAUCCUCAAAGCGUGCUCUGGCCACGCUCGCUUCCUCUCCAUGAAAGAAACGUGCGUCUUGCGAUCUGUCAGGCCACCUUUGCAACCUCGUUUCGGCUGCCUUCCCCUUCAGCACGGUGACUUUUGGAGAUCUUUCUCCAGGAAGCGGCGGGACGCCGGAGCGAAGACGGGAGGAAAACCUGAGAGAACUGAUCAAUUGGAAAGACAAGGUAUUUCACAGGGGAGAGGAAAGAAGAAAAGAUUGCAAAGGUUGUUCCAAGAGCCAGGAGGCUUGGAAUAAAAAGACCUUUGAUGAAGAACCAGUAUCUUUCCUUUUUGAUUAGACUUAACAUUCACUAAGAAUAUUUUGUUUGUCUAGAGAAAUCUUCAAAAUUGUAAGAAAAAAUAUUGUGCCAUCUUGAUAUUUUUAGGGUAAAAAUUAAAACAUAAGAAUCAAAAAUGUCUCAUAGGACUUUUAUUAUAUGAGAAAGUUGUGAAUAGAGUAUAUGUGAAAUUCCCUGAUGAUAGUUUUUAUACCACUUUAAAAUUACCUGAAGCAAUAUCUCAAUUUUAACUGCACCACAGUUAAAUUUUAAGCAGAACCACAGCUCUGAAUUUUACUAGGUUCCAUAUUCAUUCAAUGAUCUCCCUCUGAGCAAGAAGAUGAGAGGAGAGGGAAACACAGGCAGGGGUUUGUGACCUGCCCAGGUGAGGUUAGCAAAGGUCAGCACUCAGUGACAUGCAGCCACAGACCUGUGCUGCUCACCAUCUAUUACAAGAAAUAAAAGUUGUUUUGUGUGUGCCUGAGGAUAAAAU